GUUUUAAUUCUUUCCCUUCUUAUCCAAAUCAAAAUGGUGUUUAAAUGCUUGUUUGUCCUUGCAUUAUGUACUUGUUAUGGCCGGUUGUACGAGAUCUUCCUGGAUAAAGAAUGGGAAGACUUUAAGCGGAUCUACAGUAAAACCUAUACAGAGCAAGACGAGAAAAUCAGAAAAUCCAUCUGGAUCCAAAAUAUAGACAUAAUCAAUAGACACAACAAGGAGGCGGACAUGGGUCAUCAUAGCUAUAGACUUGGCAUGAACGAGUUUGGGGAUAUGACAACAAAAGAAGUAACACGGAUGUUAAAUGUACCAAAAGGAUACGCUACAGACAAUGUUAGCACAUUUCUACCACCAAACAACCUUCAACUACCAGAAACUGUCAACUGGACAAAAGAGGGUUAUGUCACUCCCGUGAAAAACCAGGGUUACUGUGGGUCUUGUUGGGCUUUUGCAACCACUGGGGGAUUAGAAGGACAGCAUUUUCGGAAAACGAAGAAAUUAGUUUCUCUUUCAGAACAAAACCUGGUUGACUGUUGCAAAGGUUUAUCUAUCAAAGGAAUAUAUAUAGUAAAAAAAUAUUUAUUGAAAUAUUGCAUUUAAAGAACACUUACAGUGACUAACUUUCUUUAAUUUGAUUUAUGCAUCAUCCUCGUUAAGAAAACCUUGGAUGUACAGGGGGAUUACCUGUGACUGCUUACAAGUAUAUUGCAAGGAAUGGAGGGAUUGACACAGAAGAAUCCUAUCCUUACUUAGGAAAGAAUGGCAAUUGUACCUUUCGUCCACCGAAAAUUGGAGCUACCUGUCAGGGGUUCGUCCGAGUCCCUGCUGGAGACGAGGUGGGUCUUCAGAAAGCGGUAGCUAGUGUUGGUCCAGUAACAGUUAGUAUAGACGCUAGCCUGAAGUCAUUUUAUCUGUACAAGGAAGGAGUGUAUGACGACAAAAAAUGCAGCAAAAAGAUGUUUAACCAUUUUGUCUUGAUUGUUGGAUAUGGAAAGCACCUUGGCAAAGAAUACUGGCUUGUAAAGAACAGCUGGGGAAUGUCAUUUGGAAUGGACGGGUACAUUAUGAUGGCUCGAAAUCAAGACAACCAGUGUGGUAUUUCAAACCAGCCUGUGUACCCGAUUGUGUAGGACAAAAACGAUUUUUAAAAAAAGGAUUGUCAAGAUUCGUUUCAUUUCUUAAUGAAAUCAAUCUAACUGUAAAAACUGAUUCAAAAAAGAAGCAAUAGGUUCUUUGAUUUUUAUUUCACUUAUAUGAUAGUGGGCUGAUAUUUUUUGAAUAAUUUUCUUGUAUUGAUUUACCUGUAAAAACAAACAUUGAAGCCAAUAAAGUGUUAUGAACAU
rnacentral:misc_RNA from 1 species